UAGAUGGAUGCUCGCUGGCUUGGGCGUUUAGCUGUUAACUAAGAGUUUGUAGGAUCGAGGCCCUCCCCAUCCUAG
rnacentral:tRNA from 1 species